AUAUUAUAUAUGUGUGUGUGUAUGUAAAGGAUAUAUAUAUAUAUGCAUACACACACACACACACACACACACACACACACACACACACAC
rnacentral:miRNA from 1 species